AUUCACACUAGCUGAGUAUCGGGUAUCUUAUAAUCGGGGAACUCGACUAUAGCAUUUUGUUAUGUUUUUGUUUUAGUAUUUUCCUAGCUAAUUUGUAUUGUUGUAAAGUUUCAGGCGCUAUUUUUUUUAUUCUUUGUGAACUCUUUCAAAAAUAAAUCCAUUUUGAACUAUUAUACAUUUUAUUAAUAAAAACUGGUUAUGUGAUCGAUGUAAAAUACGUGAGCUGCGGAGUACAAAAUUUAAAAGCUGAAUAAAUAAAUAAUUAUAACGGAAAUUUUAUUCUAAACAUCUUUAAAUUUGGUCAUGUAAAUGGAUAAGGGUUUUCGAUUGCUUAGUAAAGUGCUAAAGUGAUGUCACAGUAAUGUGGAAACUGACGAAUAACAUUGGAUUGUUUUCGGAUUGAUCGUGUGACCAGUUCUCUGUUUGCAACAGAAAAUGCUGAUUUGGCCAACCCUGCCAACAUACAGGCGGAGUCUGUCCAACAAUGAAAGUUGGCGGUAAGCAUGGGCAUUCAUUAAGGAACAGCUUUAUCCAUUUCCGAUGUAGCUUUGACUUUGGUUAGGAUGACGGCAGAGUGCGCGCGAGAAGCAAAGCUGCCGAAUAGGAAACACGGAGAAUCUGAGUAGAGUCCAGAAAUAUUAACAUAUACAUGCUUAUGUAGAUUAAAACAAUUAAAUCUUUUAAACCUACCGAAGAUAACUAUGAUUAUAUGAUUUUGAUAAUUUGUUGCGUUUUCAUGGUCACGCGCGGGCGUCCUUUUUGCUGUCAGUUGUCAAAAAUGGUUCUUUAACGGACCUUCGAGUGUUUACUGACAAAAUCAAUUCGCAGCUUCGAGUACUUAGCAAUACUAAAGCAAUCCAGGAAUUGCAACCCGGAAUUAUAAUCGCAAGUGCACUUGUAAACACUAAGAAUGCAAUGAGUCGAAUAGUAAAUUCAACAACUAAAGGCACUAUUGCAGACUGCGCAAAUUAAAAAAAGCGAAACGUUGCAAGAUUAAGAUUAACAACGCAACGAACUUCAAAAGUAUUAAAAUUCUUAAUUUUUCAUCGUCGUUCAAAAACGGCAAGUUGACAAACUGAUGACAGCGUCGUCGAGCCAACUGUACCCACGAAAUAACUGCCUAAUUCGGCGAAAAAGCGAUGGAAACUAGUAGUCGACUAUCGCGAAAUAAAUAAAUUCCAUCUUCCAAGAAUAUAAGGUAUUUUUGAUCAAUUAGGACGAGCAAAAUAUUUCUUUUGGCUGGACCUGAUGUUUGGAUUCCGCCAAAUGGAUAAUGCUAUAGAUUUGGGACGCAAGUGUACUAAUAGAGGUAUACAUCCUAAUGAUUCUAAAGACGAUGUUACCAAAAACUAUCCCAAACCAGCAAAUGCAGACAAAGCCAAGCGAUUGGUUGCAUUUUGUAAUUACUAUAGAAGUAUCUUAAAAUGGUAUUAAUGCAACCCAUAUUUCAGCAAAGAAUUUUGUAAAGCCACGAAUGCUAGUAAACAAGAAUGUAAAGCAGUACUAUCCCAAGGACAUAACGGCUAACAACUACCACUGGCGUACGCUUCAAGAAGCUUUACAAAAGAAAAAGAACAAGAAUUAGAAGCAAUUCACUGGGCAAUAAACCACAUCAAACCAUAUUAGGAUAGGAUGAAUGGUACGUUUUUGUGGCAAAAAUUAAGAACUUCAAAACGGAGAGUGAUGUGUUUUUUGCAUUGGGUUGCAUUGGCCCAUAUCUUUUAUGAUACCAAAAAUUGUAGGCGUGGCGCCGCCCCUUACAUUUAAUUAAAUAAUUUUAAUUUUCUAGCCGAAGCAAAAUACAACUGAUUUCGUGCUAGUGAUUGCAUAUUAAAUUAUUUUACAAAUAAUAACCACCAAAAUAAUAAAAAAUUAAUGAAACAAUUCAGCAACAGUCUUGUUUGACUCCCUUUUGGCGGAAAUUACUCUGCUAUGGUACGGCAUUAGGGAACCUGAAGGUGCGGCCUAAAAACGUUAAUUACAAAACAAGUGCGCAAAAUAUUAAGAUUACAUUCAAAUGAACACGAAUUAAAUUACCUACAACACAGUAUAUAAGUUAUUGCCCUACAAGUCAUUGUCUCACAUCUUGUGUUUCAACAUUGUUUCUGGGUAAACACAAGUGCCCAAAAUGCUGACCAGAGGUCUGCAUAAUUUCCGUUGCCAUCAACGUCAACGAACGGCUAAAGUUCGAUAAUUAGCACUUCUCCGCUGCGCCGCUGCUGACGCCCCUCGGAAAUAUUUUGUAUCGUAGUUUCAAUUUUAAAUAAACAUUUACAAUAAACGGUCGCUUGACACCUACAAAGAAAUAACUGUAAUUAUUUACUGGCGUCCGAACAGGGACGAACGAAUAAACGCGAACGACAGACUAACAAUUCUAAGUCUCGGUGCAAAAUCAAAAUUUUGCAAAAAAAAACGUUCCAGUGUAAAAUGCAGGCGACACGUUUCUGGAGAUCUUCUGAUAAAACAAUUCUCAUCUACUGUUCUUUUUUUUCCUCGUUUUCUAUUCUCAAAAUGAAGUAGCCGCGACGUGAUUAAAUUGUAUUGGGUCCAAAAUUGUUAAAAACAAAGAAACCGAAACAGAAAUAGGCAAACACAUCUUUUUAUAAGUUCGAAUUGGUUUAGGUUUAGGUUCUUCUUGUGUAAGUGUUGUCCACGAAACCUCUUGAGGAUACCACCAAAACACUUAGGCCCAGCCAUUCGCUGCGCCAAGACAAUAUGUGUCUAAUUUCGGUAAUGCACCGUUCGCCGCACCCCGACAAAACUAUCAACAGCAAUGGCAACAAUAUAAUGCCACACACCGUCCCUUUGCGACCAUACCACAACUAAGACCAGAACCAAUGGAUGUGGACCUCAGUAUACAGACGCGAAACGUAAAUUAUAUGAACAGACCACAUUUUGACGCCGGCAAACAACCGAGCCGAUUUCAGAUAUAAACAAACGACAAAGAACCUACAACAUCCAAACAAUGCAAAUGGGGCAGCCAAGUGUUGAAAUAGCUGAGCCCAGUUCAAGCAUGGCAGGCUAUCAACGGUCGAUGCAAGUAUAUGAAAACCAGAACGACAUAAACGGCACCCUGAAUGAAUAUUGGUUAUGGACAAACAGGCAAUUUGGACGGCGGGCAACGAGACCACGUUUUGCAUUUUUUAGAGUAGAAGACUCCUCACUACCAUACAUUGAAUUUAGAGUGGGAGAGGGAAGGUUUUAAGAGUGUUGAUUGACACGGGCUCUAACAAAAUUUACAUCCAGCUCAAUUUGCUGUCGAACGCGAUACCUCAUAACAAGCCUUACAUAGCUGACACUCCAGGCGGCGAUGUGAAAAUAUCGCAUUACAAAAGAGCAAACCUUUUCGACUUUGAAUUGAAAUUCUUUCUAUUACCAUCGCUGAAGGCUUUUGACGCCAUACUUGGCAAAGAUACAAUGAAGGGAAUGGGAGCCCAAAUUGUCUCAGAAAACCUAACCAGGACACUGGAAAAUAGGAAAAGAAUCGUCCUCAAAGAAAAACACUUCGAGGCUGUUAGCACAAUUAGUCCCAGAAUAAAAAACUUAGAGGUAGAACGGAGAAAGAAAUUAAAUAAAAUAAUUGAUUCUCAUCCAGGUCUCUUCGCAGACCCAAAUCAAAAACUAACCUACACCUACCAGUGUAAGGUCACCAAUCCGAACCACAUCGGAUACACCAGUGUACUCAAAAUUCUACCAGUACCAAAAAAAAAUCCCGACUUCUCUGGCAAAAAAAAUACAGGGUUGUAAUUCACUACCGAAAACUUAAUAUGGUAACUGUAGCGGACAGAUACCCUGCCUCUGAUAUUAAUGAAGUGUUGGCCCUAUUGGGAGACAACAAGAUUUUCUCAGUGUCCAAUGUGAAAAGUGGGUUUCAUCAGAUUCUUCUAAAGGAAUCUGAUAUUGAAAAGACAUCCUUCUCCAUCAAUAAUGGAAAAUACGAGAUUCCCAUUCCCAUUCGGUCUGAAAAAUGCACCGUCAAUUGUCACGAACAUAUGGGUAAGAUAUGUUUUAUUUAUAUUGACGACAUCAUCAUAUUUAGUAAAGAUGAUGAAACACACUACCAGAACCUUGACAACAUUUUCAGAACUCUUCAGCAAGCCAACAUGAAAUGUCAGUUGGAUAAAUGCGAGUUCAUGAAGAGAAAAGUGGAGUUCCUAGGCUUCGUCGUGUCCGACAAGGGCAUUGAAACCAACCCAAACAAGGUACCGGCUAUCUUAGACUUUCCAAUUCCAAGAACAGUCAAAGAAUUGAGAUGAUUCUUGGGAUUAUCUGGAUAUUACAGAAGAUUUAUUCCUAACUACGCUAAGUUAGCAAAACCACUUAGCUCGCAUUUGAGAGGGGAGGAUGGACGAAUUUCCAAGACAUUAUCGUCAAAAAAAAUCCGUCUCCCUUAAUAGUGAAACAAUGGAAGCCAUCAAGAAAUUGAAGAGCAGUUUUGUUUCUCCAGACGUAAUACUCCACUACCCAGACUAUUUUUUAUUAUUAUCUGGGCUCUAAAAAUGCUCAAUUUUACCUUUAGGGUGAAUAAAUAAAUAAAGCAAAGGUGAAAAUCUUUACUGAUCAUCAGCCUCUGACCCAUUCUUCAGUAGUUGGAAUGGGAAUGCGAGGAUAAAAAGGUGAAAAGCGUAUCUUGAGGAAUAUGACUAUGAGAUUUUCUAUAAACCAGCCAGAAAAAAUACUGUAGCCGACACUCUGUCCAGAGGACCGACAGUCGAACAGAAAAACUCAGUAGCCUCAACAAUGCACAGCUCCGUCAGUUUGAGGCUGAUACGUUGCGUUGAAGCCCCGAUGAAUGCAUUCAAAAAUCAAAUUUUCUUCAGGAAUUCCGAGUCAGAGAAUUACUCAUUCAACAUUCCAAUCCCGACAUACCACAGGCAUUUACUGGAUCAUAAAUUGUUCACACCAGAUAGCCUCUUGUCAGAUUUGAUGAAAUAUCUUAACCCAUCCGUGAUUAACGGAAUUUCCACAUCUGAGGAUGUAAUGGGGAAAAUACUAAUUCUCUACCCAUCUAUUUUUAGGUUUUCAAGAUUAGAUUCUCUCAAACUAAAGUCAAAGACCUUGUUAACGAAGCCGAACAGGAGCAAGAAAUACUUAUUACACACAACACUGCCUGCGGCCAAUUGCUGCCCGACGCUUUCACUGUUUAUUCCUUCUCUCUACUCCUUCUUUCACGUUCCGUCUCACUACUUAAUCUAACGCGCGGUCUGGCUGACUGAUCCCGAUCCGUGCUUGCGCCGACCUUUUAUAGGAAGUAGGAAUCCCGUUAUUUCCCUUUUUGCGUACGUCCAGCUCGCGUGCAAGGUCCACUUAUUGUACCGUUAAUUCACGGUGCGUCCUCUUUGUGCACGCACCGUUAUCGGUCGACCUCUGUGCCCUUGGACAAUUUGAGUCCAGAAUCCAGAGCGGUACCGUUAAUUUACGGUGCGUCUUUUUUGUACAUGCACCGUUAUCGGACGACAUCUUCGUCCUUGGACAACUGGAGUCCAUGGUCCAGAGCGGUACCGUUAGUUCACGGUGCGUCCUCUUUGUGCAUGCACCGUUGCGUCCCUCGUGGGAGACGAUACACCCUGCCCCAUCACCUCCUAAUCCCGGCCGGGCCGAAUCGUCGUCCGCUGUCAAGGAGUACACAGGACAACGGAGGCAAGGCGACUGCAGGAGAAGCGCCGCAGGAGAAGCGAGAUCGCCGGAGGAGUUAUCCAUAAGAUUGUAGAAUAAAUUGACUAUCAUAAGAACCCUCUGCUUUUACUUGGUCGAGCAAUCACAGAAAUCAUAAAUUUGGUGGGACGAACGCACAAUCUCUCUGAGCUAGCCGUCGCAAUUCUUAACGAGCAAAAAUAGAAAAUCAGUUCGUUACAACGUAUCAUUGGCCGGGAAUGUAUCGAGACAUAAGAAAGUAUGUGCGGAGCUGCGAGAGCUGUAUGAAGUACAAGACCAGCCAGCUACAGGUGGACGGAAGAAUGUUGACACAGGUGCCGGAAGAAACCAUGUGCGCAGAUUUCGCGGACCUUUCCGCGGUCGAAACACGGAAAUUCGAUGCUGUUGGUCCUGGUGGACAGAUUCUCAAAGUGGACCGAGAUCGCUCCUAUGAGGAGGCCGAGGACUGAGACGCUGCGAAAGGCUGUUCGAGAGCGGAUAGCGGCCAAAUACGGGGUGCCCAAAAUUAUGAUCACAGACAAUGGGGUGCAGUUCACAAGUAGGGCGUUCAGGAGGUUUCUGGAGGGGCUUGGGGUGCGACACCAGCUCACGGCUCCAUAUACUCCGCAAGAGAACCCUACGGAAAGGACCAAAAGGACCGGCAAAACAAUGAUCGCGCAGUUCACAGGUGCCGAUUAGAGGACAUGGGACGAUUACUGGCCGGAGCUGCAGCUGGCGGUUAACGCAAGUGUGGCGGAGACCACAGGAUACUCUCCGGCAUUCAUCACGCAGGGAAGGAGCCGAGGCUGUCCAACGCGUUGUUCGACGAACAGACGACCGGGGCUGGCAAGUGCACACAGACACCGGCGGAGAACGCGGAGAAAUUAAAGGAAAUCUUCGAGCUGGUGCGGAGAAACAUGGAGAGGGCGGCGCAGGAUCAGGCGCGCCACUAUAAUCUCCGAAGACGGCCGUGGAAACCCAAGGUGGGGGACACAAUAUGGGCCAAAGAGCACCACCUGUCAAAGGCAGCCAAAGGUUUCGCGGCAAAGUUGGCCCCGAAAAAAAAAAAAUAACAAUGGAAAAACACCGUUCGGUGAGGAAAGGGAGAAGACGAUACAAGAACAAACAAUUUACCAAAACAUUUUAAUAGAAUAACUAGCAUAGAACCAUCUUAUUAUAUUAAUGAUUAUGCUUAAGAAAUUAAAUUCAGAUUAGAAGUAUCUUUUAAAAGAGCAAGAAAAAUGCCUGAAGAGCAUAAAAUAACAAAUAAAAAAAUUGUGAUUUAAAUACAAAUAAUAUAGAUACAUAUAUCAUUAGGAGUUAAAGUUCUGUUAAGAAGUUACGUAGGACAUAAGUUAGAAUUUAAAGACACGGGACCAUAUAAGGUAGAAAAUAUAGCAGAUAGAUAACAUAAUAAUAUCAGGUAUCAAGACCCGCACACGUACUCUUAGAGCCAUCGAUGGCACUAUCGAAACUAUCGAUGGUCUUAAGUCUUUUUUUCAAGCCAUCGAUGCUUUUCGAAAACAAAAGAUGGUUUCUCUGCACUGACGUCACUAACACUUUGAUACAGCGAGAGAGACAUAUUAUAGAAAAGAAGUAACUAUUUGAGAAGAUUGGUGGUGUUGGAGGAGGUUGGAGAUGGUAAAAUACUUGAAAAACCCUUUAUCAACUGAGGAUAACAUGACUCAAAACCGUAAAGAGGAGAUUUUACUGGUAUGGGACCAUUUCAAGAAAACUAAGGAUGCUCACGGAGCGGUUUGCAACAGAUGUGAUCCCUAAUAUCCGGAGGCUGAAAAGGUUGCUCCUUCCACUAGUUUGGAACGGUUCCUAAAGACUUACCUCACUUAUAAAAAUGGGUCAGCAAAAAAAAAAACGGAGCUGGACAAGGCAGUAAUGCGUAUGAUCGCACUGGAUGUCCAACCCUUUUCUAUUGUUGAAGAUUGGGGAUUCUGCGAUUUGAUUAGAAAGCUAGACCCGAGGUACAAGCUACCCAGUAAAACCCAUCUCUAAAAUGUUGAUCUUCCACGUGAAUGUGAAGGUUUAAAAUUGAAGUUGCAGGAGGAUUUAAGUUACGUUGACAAUGUAUCCAUUACUACUGAUUGUUGGACAUCGCGUGCUAAUGAGGCGUAUUUCACUAUAACGUGCCACUUCAUUAACGAAUGCUAUGUACUUAAAUCAGUAGUUUUGUCGACGCAAAAACUUGUAGAUGCAACUAACCACUGCUCUAGUAAUAUUGCGAACUCACUCAGAGCCGUUUUGAAUGAGUGGAACCUUUUAAAUAAGGUAGUAACGAUUGUAACAGACAAUGACGCGUCUAUGAAAGAAGCCUGCGAGUUAAUGAAAAUGAAACAUUUACCUUAUGUUUCGCAUACUAUUAAUGUAUUAGUGCAAGAGCGUUGAAGCGUUGAAAUAGCGCGUACUAUAUGAUUUAACGGAUUAUUUUAGUAAAUGACUCAAUUUCUGCAGUGCUUCUAAACUCAACCAAAGCUCCAAGUCCAUAAUCAGCGGACGAAAUGAUCGUUCUGUCUAAAUAUCGACAAACAAAACGGUUUCGAUUUCCUUAAUAAUACCUCUUAUUUAUGAGUUACACCAAAAAUCAUGCAAAGUAUACAGCCAAGUGAAAUCACAGCCUGCGCUUGAUAUUUGCGAGACCGUAAAAAAACGAUUGCCAGAGCGUUUCUCGCAUUACGAAACUCGGACUGUUACUAGAAUUGCUACAUUACUGGAUCCCAGAUUUAAAAAGGACGGUUUUUGUUUACAUCGAACUCAGAGCAAGCCGCGAAAGCUUUGGAGUUGGAGUUAUUUGCAAGUUUGUCCCGAGUUCCUUCCACACCUGAUAUUUCAACAAAAAAAACCAGGUUCUUCUUUUUUAGAGACGAAAAUUUCAAAUAAAGUUUACUCAAACAGAGCAGACUCAAUAUUGCUCUUGAGGACGUAUUUUGAGAGACCUAAUGAGCCGGAGGAUAAGGAUCCCCUUGGUUAUUGGAUGGCAAACAGUGAGAGUCUGAAGCCAAUAACCGAACUUUGUAAAAAGUACCUGUGCAUUCCGGCCAGUUCAACAGAUUUUGAAAGAACCUUCAGUAAAGCUGGUCAGAUUGUAUCUGACCGCAGAGCAUCGCUUAAACCAAAUGUAGUAGACAUGCUACUUUUUGUAAACAGAAAUCAGAAACAAUGAUCUCGUGUUGUCUUAUUAUGAAUAUAAAAAAAAUAUUAUUUUGUUAUUACUAAAUAUUUUGAAUACUGUCUUAAUUUAAAUAAUA